GAUGAACGCUAGCUACAGGCUUAACACAUGCAAGUCGAGGGGCAGCAUGACCUAGCAAUAGGUUGAUGGCGACCGGCGCACGGGUGAGUAACACGUAUCCAACCUGCCGUCUACUCUUGGCCAGCCUUCUGAAAGGAAGAUUAAUCCAGGAUGGGAUCAUGAGUUCACAUGUCCGCAUGAUUAAAGGUAUUUUCCGGUAGACGAUGGGGAUGCGUUCCAUUAGAUAGUAGGCGGGGUAACGGCCCACCUAGUCAACGAUGGAUAGGGGUUCUGAGAGGAAGGUCCCCCACAUUGGAACUGAGACACGGUCCAA
rnacentral:rRNA from 1 species